GGGCCCGUAGCUUAGCCUGGUGGAGCGUCUGGCUCAUAACCAGAUGGUCGUCGGUUCGAAAAGCAUGGUCGUGGUUGGCAUCGUCCUUGCUACGAAAAUCCGACCGGGCCCA
rnacentral:tRNA from 1 species